AUUGAACACUGGCGGCAUGCCUUACACAUGCAAGUCGAACGGUAACGCGGGGUAACCUGGCGACGAGUGGCGAACGGGUGAGUAAUGCAUAGGAACGUGCCCAGUAGUGGGGGAUAGCCCGGCGAAAGCCGGAUUAAUACCGCAUACGACCUACGGGUGAAAGGGGGGGAUCGAAAGACCUCUCGCUAUUGGAGCGGCCGAUGUCAGAUUAGGUAGUUGGUGGGGUAAAGGCCUACCAAGCCUACGAUCUGUAGCUGGUCUGAGAGGACGACCAGCCACACUGGGACUGAGACACGGCCCAGACUCCUACGGGAGGCAGCAGUGGGGAAUUUUGGACAAUGGGCGCAAGCCUGAUCCAGCCAUGCCGCGUGCGGGAAGAAGGCCUUCGGGUUGUAAACCGCUUUUGUCAGGGAAGAAAAGCUCCGAGUUAAUACCUCGGGGUAAUGACGGUACCUGAAGAAUAAGCACCGGCUAACUACGUGCCAGCCGCCGCCGUAA
rnacentral:rRNA from 1 species